ACGGAAGGCAGCAGUGGGGAAUAUUGCACAAUGGGCGAAAGCCUGAUGCAGCGACGCCGCGUGAGUGAAGAAGUAUCUCGGUAUGUAAAGCUCUAUCAGCAGGGAAGAAAAUGACGGUACCUGACUAAGAAGCCCCGGCUAACUACGUGCCAGCAGCCGCGGUAAUACGUAGGGGGCAAGCGUUAUCCGGAUUUACUGGGUGUAAAGGGAGCGUAGACGGUUUGGCAAGUCUGGAGUGAAAUGCGGGGGCUCAACUCCUGAACUGCUUUGGAAACUGUCGAACUAGAGUGCAGGAGAGGUAAGUGGAAUUCCUAGUGUAGCGGUGAAAUGCGUAGAUAUUAGGAGGAACACCAGUGGCGAAGGCGGCUUACUGGACUGUAACUGACGUUGAGGCUCGAAAGCGUGGGGAGCAAACAGGAUUAGAUACCCUGGUA
rnacentral:rRNA from 2 species